rnacentral:rRNA from 1 species
CUACGGGUUGCUGCAGUGGGGAAUAUUGCACAAUGGAGGAAACUCUGAUGCAGCAACGCCGCGUGGAGGAUGACACUUUUCGGAGCGUAAACUCCUUUUAUAGAGGAAGAAGAUGACGGUACUAUAUGAAUAAGCGCCGGCUAACUCCGUGCCAGCAGCCGCGGUAAUACGGAGGGCGCAAGCGUUACUCGGAAUCACUGGGCGUAAAGAGCAUGUAGGCGGGUUAAUAAGUCAGAAGUGAAAUCCUAUAGCUUAACUAUAGAACUGCUUUUGAAACUGUUAAUCUAGAAUAUGGGAGAGGUAGAUGGAAUUUCUGGUGUAGGGGUAAAAUCCGUAGAGAUCAGAAGGAAUACCGAUUGCGAAGGCGAUCUACUAGAACAUUACUGACGCUGAGACGCGAAAGCGUGGGGAGCAAACAGGAUUAGAUACCCGUGUAGUC